GUACUUGGCAUCAUGCCAGCUUUGUAGUACUGGUUAUCUGGAUGGCCAAAGUUAGGCUCAGUGAAGCCAGCUAAUGAACAGGUAUCCUGGUGCCUGCCCAACUCCAGCUGUGUCUCGUUCUGUCAUUAGUUCCUUGUGUAUUUAUACCUGUCUGUCAGUUCCUGGUCAACAUAUCCGGGUGUUUGCAGCUGUUAUUUUUUGCUCCUCGUGUCUCAAGUCAGCCAGUUCUGUUUUUGUCUUCGUCUGCCAGUAACCAGCGUCUGGUUUUCUUUUCCCCCUCACUUGAGUCUGCUCUUAGUGAAGCUCGGAGGAUUGUUUUUCAAACAACAGCUGGUCAAUAACCAGUCUCAAAUCAGCAGCCUCGACUGACCACGGGACGAGCAUCGAUUGAGGAAGCAAUUAACUGUUGAUGACAUCUUCUUAUGGAUGACAGGGUCCACACUAAGCCGAAGUGGCAUCCUUGGGAUUUGGAUUCAUUUUAUUUUUUUCAAAUAAAAUCUCCUGAUUGGAAUUAAGAGCGCUGCGCAGGGCGCAAUGAGUUCACCAUGUCUCAGUUGUGUCGUUUUCAUUUUCUCCUCCCUCCUCUUGCUUGGUCCUUAAUUGGCUCUGUCAGUCUGUAAACGACGACUGAAUGUGUCUUUCCACCUGCUCCUCUCAUCGUCAGCAUGUUAUCAUCGCCUGAACACCCUUUCUCGCUCAUUGACUCCUUUCUCUCUCCUCUCCUCUGUCUCUCAUCACCUGUCCUAUACCAGUCCCUCUCCCUCCCUCCCUCUUUCUCUCAAUUUUCUCCCUCUUUAUUCCCCUCGUCCUUUUUGCCUGAGCGGCAUGUGGUGAGCAGGUAAAUAAAUCACUAAGCAGCUCUGGAGAAGAUAACGAGGCAACGGGGGAUACUCUGCACUCUGCAGAUGUGUGCAGAUGCUUUGCCUAGGGCCACAUGGAAGAGGACCGAGCCACUUGAUAUAUAUAUACCUGAUAUCUUCUACGCCCCUAGAAAAACGCAUGGACUCUAAUCAGAUGCUCUGAAUAAACACUGUUUUGAAGGCAUGAGGUGUAGUGUUUUGCUGUAGUAGAUUGAGUAACAUUUGGAGGGGCAGUGAUGUUGGCAGAGAGAGAGAGAGUCUGAUAGAAAUUUUUCACGCUCUCUGAAUUUACCACUCUCCCAAAAUUAUUCAUCGUCUCCCAACAGGAGUCCGAGGAAGCCACGAGGGAGGUUAAGAGACGGUGAAAAUAUGCCCUGGGUGAAAUUUCACUCUUCGUAAUUUUACAUGCAGCAGAUACAGAGACAAUGACCAACACGCUAAGGCCCAAUUACAUUUUCUGAAAGCAAGAAGAAAGCGACAAAAUUGUGACAUUAGGGUAAUGAAGAGAAAACUUUGCUAAUGAGAAAGCGAGACAUGGAAAGAAAAAGAGAGAGGGAGUUUACUUCCAUGCUGGUUUGGUGACAGACAAAGGAUCAGAGUUCAAGAACAGUGAAGGAGGACUUUUAACUUGCAAUUAAAUCCCUGCUUUGGAAAAAAUGAUUAUUCUAGCCCUAGGAGAAAGAAAGCUAGCUUUUCAUCAUUUAGUGAAAAAGGAAAAAAAAACACAGUUAAGUGGGGAGACGAGGUGGAAAAGAUGUGGAGCAAGGAAGGGAGUAAAGGCUGCCAUCAGAGAGAGAUAUCCUCUUACCAAAUGGCGCUAAUAGGCAACACAAAGAGAAUCGUUGCAGGGGGGAUUGGGGGAAUCAGACGCCUCACUGCUUCCUUCCAGGAUGACACAGAGCGAAGGAGAGUUACCAAGGUAGAGGUGUGUAAUCAAAGUGGCUGCUGGAUGACACACAUUGUAUACUUACACAUUUUACGACAAAAUGAUAUGGUUGUCAUUAACGCUGAUAGAAAGUCACAGAAAAUCCUCAUCCCCACAGCCUGAUUCCAAGCGCAUUUAUGAUCCCUGCAAUGCGACAGAGGGAGCCGAAUCAACACGGCCCUUCCAUUUCAUUCUUUUAAAGUUACGCUUGGCGAGGUUUUAUGAGCUCCUACACAAAUCAUAUUAGAUGAGUUGCCACCAAGUCAUUUGUUAUAUAUUACUGCACCUCAUCACAUUCCCCAGAAGGGGAGAAGGCAAGAAAUACAGCGAGGGCCCCACACAGAGCGCCACGUCGCUAAAUGGCAGAGAGACAGCAGAGGGGUGACACACGUCGUGUCAUCGAUGUCAUGGCAGUGAGUCCCGCUGUCUUGUACGGUAUAAUCUAACCAGCCUGGGUGUUAGACAGGCUUUUUCCUGCCAUGCCAAUAUGGCUUCUUGGAAUGGAGGUGUACCGACAAGGCAAACAAAAUCAGGAACGUGAUGCAGGCGGAUUCACAGACAUAAUCAGAGAUACACUAUAUAUCAAUCUCACACACGUACUUGUAUGCAUCUCACACUGAAUUAUGGACCCCCAUUGAAUGGGUUUCCUUCUAAUUCCAGGCCCAUUAUGUAGUUUGGUGGUAUAUUUUUCUUAUUUUGCAAGAUAAAUGGAGAAAUAUAACUGGCAUAACAUCACAUUGAGAUAUAAUAUGCUUCUAUAAUAAAGUGUGACCCUAGUAAAAUUUGAAAUUUCACCAGAACUUGGCAAACAUCAAUGUGUUUUGGUUAUAGCCCUGCAGAAUCAAACAUCAAGGGUGUCUUUUAUACACUCAUCAUUUUGAUGUUCGUCAGCCACAGGGAAAAAUCCAGAGAGGGAAAAGUGGAGAUACUGCACAAUUUUUCACAACUCCAAAAUACAAUGCUGCCACAAGAUCUGUUGUGUUUGAUUAGAGGAAAAGAUUCCCAGUUUUUCGGAGAGGAAGAAUUUACUAGUUUGCUUUUACCACAAUUGGUUUCCCUCAGCUACACACACCUCUAAAACAAACACAAUGAGGAAAAGAUUAAGGGUAUAUGCACUCAAGUGAGCUCAGUGAGAAACAUAAGAAUCCAAUCCUUGAAUUAGAAGUGAAAAAGGCUAGUGAGAAGAAAGUCGAUACAAUUAAGGGAAUUUAUAAUGUUUCACCAUAUAACCAAUUCUGAAACAUAUUAAAGGGAAAUUCAUUUAUUUUUUUCAACUUUACUCUCAUAAUUGGCCACUCUAACUAUAGGUCAUUCUUAUUUUGCACUGCCACCUUCACUUAAAGAUUCAGGAAUCCCCCAAACCUUGGAAAUUAGCUCUGUGAACCAACUAUGGUGGCUAAAUGAAUUGAGAUCUACUUCUGGGGCAACUUGUCCGCUAACAAAACUUGCUCAUUAUAUUCAUCUCUGUGUGUCGGUUUGUUUACAUGUGUAAGGCUUUGGGUUGCUGGUAAUUUAUAUGUAUCAGACAAGAAAAUAUGUGUUUUUGUUAAUGUCUUCUAAGGAAAUUAUUAGAACAAUCAUGAGUCAUUUUGCUUUGAUGGCUAGCCACAUUUAUUCAAACCAGAGUACACAAAUGAGAAACAACUGUUUUAUGUAAAAUUAUGUAAAAAUGUUCAUUUGGAAAGCUUUAAUUGAUUCGAGCUGAUAUACAUGGUUCUGAUGUCUUUCUUAAAUCUCUAUAAUGUGGCGAGUGCACAUUUAGCAUUACCCAUUGUUAGAGUGGAUAAGACUGGGCUUGUAAAAUAACAUUAAUUUAUAUUAAAAAUCAAAAACUAUCUUACCGUUAUAUGUAGUAGAAUGAAUUUUUUCCUCUUUUCUUCCAGAGACACGGACAGUAGUCAUAUCAGCUGACAUUGUGUAGGUGACAUCUUAUAUGACACUUCCAGACACAAGACUCAAUGUGCAUCAUCUUCUACACAGAGUUGAGCUAGAUUGGCAUAUUGUUAUAUUGUCAGGAUGAUAGUGGCAUUAGAGCUGGACAGACAGGCAACCGAGGGAGGCAUUCAAAUCCUCUCUGUGUUACAAAGUCCCAGGCUGCAGAGAAGAGUGACAUUUUAUGAAAAUGACCUGAGCUCAGCCGAUCUCUAUUGCCAAGCAAAAUGUCAGUCACAGAAACAGAUAUGUUAUCCUCUCGGUUUGGUUUAGUUUAGAUUAAUUGUCUUUUUUGUUGUAUUGUAUACAGGAGAAGUUGUGGAAAUACACCACGUUAUGGCUUUCCUUUCACUGUCUCACUACAAGACUAGUAAAUGUGUUUUUAAACAAGCACUUAGAAUUUGUGGAAAACUCUAACUGGAGCUAAGUGUUUCGCUCAGAGCUAGUGGGGGUAGGUUGGUUAUUACAUAAUUACAUAAAGCAUAACCCUUUGUUGUGCAUUAGCUCCCCUCAACACCUGAACUCAGUAGGAGUAAAACUGUAGCCUCAGCAGCACUUUGUUUUGAGUGGUAUAAAUACGCCUAUAUGUCCAUUGUCUUGUUGGAUAGAUACAAGCAUGAAUCAGCUCUCCAUUAGACUUUCAUGAGGGAGCACAAAGACAACCCACAGCUUUUAUUUCCUUUACAUUACCUCUCUGGUCACAAAGGUAGAGGGUGCUUUGCAAACAAUGAUAUAUGGCACAUACCCACACAACUGCAUUAUCAUAAAGAGUCUUCCACUUACUUAUCAUUGGAGAAAAAGAGUUUAGCACACCAAGCCAGACAAAGAUGGAACCCAGAGGUAAACACCAAGAUUUGGAAGCUGUUUGAAUGGAGUCCAUUUGAGUAUUGGGGUAAAUUCAACACAUCCUCAUAAUUAAAUGACCAUAUAGGUCAAUUGUCCAUGCACUCUGGAACAUAGGUGCAUUUUCUAAUAUGCCGUCUAUCGCCAGAAAUCACUUAGCCGUUACAAAUCACUGUUAAAAAUAAUUAUGUUUUAUGGUGUGACAACAUUGUAGUUAAGGUCAGGUUAGGUUAGGGCACAAAAACCAGGUUACGGUUAGGAAAAGAUCAUGAUUUGGGUUAAAAUGACUGAAACAGCUGAAACAACUGAAACAGUUACUUAAGUUAGGCAAUCUUUGUCAUCACGGCAACAGUAAACACCACGACAAUCUUAGUUACAGUUUUUUAUCCUCGACUCGCAGUUGGAAACAGGAAGCCAACAGCGGUCUCCUGCAGCUAAGUCCACUUUUUGCCAUCUAUCUAGCCAUCCACCCAACCUACUACCUUCUAAUAAGGAAAUUUGUCCUUAUAUCAACGUCAUCUGAACUGCAUCACUUCUCCAGGUUAUAAUUACUACAGCCACUAGAUGGUGUCUGUAACUCAAACGUAACUAUAGGUCAUUUUUGGCAUUGAACACAAAUAUCCGAAUCAGUUGGACCAGACAUUAAACGGACUUUACCCUGCUAGCUCCCAAGUACAAAGUCUGUGUAAUGUCCGUUUGAGCCCAUGUGUGAAUACAGCAGGUCAUUUUCUGGAGUGAAGUGAGCAUGUUGAUAACGUUUCUAUCAUGCAACUGGCGUGAAACCGGAAGAACACAAACAUCCGAGAGUGAAGAAGAAGGGUCAUUUACACAAAGAUGCAAGCAAAAAUGUCUAACUGGAGAGACAACACAACUUGGGAACUUCUAAGGGUAAGGGCUGACACCAAAAUCAUCAGACAAAUCCAAGGAACAGCAAGAGACUCAGUUGUUUAUGACCAAAAUACAAACCGGCUACGUGACUGCGCAUACUUUUUGUGUCAUGUCUUCUUCGCCUCUUGCAUGCUAUACCCAGGUGCCAUCCCUCGCUCAAACCAGAGUAUUUCCAGCAGGUGAGAAAACAUCUUACAUGGAGUUCGAGAAAACAGCUCUAUGCUGUAGUUUUUCUUGGGGGGAUGGGCUGGGUAAAUUAGGUAUUAAUUCUGCACAAUGAGACUUGCAUAGCAAUUCAUGUUGACGGUGGCUGUGGCAAAAUUAACAAAAUAGAAAUUUUGACAAUAAGAAAAAAGGCAAAAGAACUGGAUGGAGGGGACAGAUGAAGGGGAAAGCAGUGAGAGAGACAGAAAAAAGCAAAGCAAGAAAAAAAUCAUUUUAGAGGAGAAGGGAAGAUAGGUGUGGAAAAUGAGGAGGUAAAUGCAGUGAGAGAAAGGGCAGGAAGGGAGUCAUAAACUGCAUUUAUAAACGCGUCUCUAUAGUAACCAACUGGUAAUUUCACUAGCAAGAGCACAGGGGAGGAGGAGGGGGGACAAACUGGGCCACCAUUUACCAGCGUCACCACAAUCAGGCUAGUUAUUACAGUAGAGAGAGAGCGACAGAGAAGGAGAAUACUGGGAGAGGUUUGGCAUUAAAAUCUAAAAUAAUAAAACUGACUCAGAGGUU